GGGUCUGUAGCUUAAUCGGUAAAGCAUCUAGCUGGCUGCUAGAAAGAUGUCGGUUCGACUCCGGCCAGUAUCCA
rfam:Limnoraphis robusta CS-951 contig301, whole genome shotgun sequence.